rnacentral:rRNA from 1 species
CAUGCAAGUCGAGCGAGAAACUAGCUUCGGUUAGUGGAAAGCGGCGCACGGGUGAGUAACGCGUGGGAAUUUACCUUUUGGUGGGGGACAACAGUUGGAAACGACUGCUAAUACCGCAUAUACCCUACGGGGGAAGGAUUUAUCGCCAAGAGAUGGGCCCGCGUUAGAUUAGGUAGUUGGUAGGGUCAAAGCCUACCAAGCCUACGAUCUAUAGCUGGUUUGAGAGAACGAUCAGCCACACUGGAACUGAGACACGGUCCAGACUCCUACGGGAGGCAGCAGUGGGGAAUCUUGCACAAUGGGCGAAAGCCUGAUGCAGCCAUGCCGCGUGAGUGAGAAGGCCUUCGGGUUGUAAAACUCUUUUAGAUGUGAAGAUGAUGACGGUAACAUCAGAAAAAGCCCCGGCUAACUUCGUGCCAGCAGCCGCGGUAAUACGAAGGGGGCUAGCGUUGUUCGGAAUUACUGGGCGUAAAGAGCGUGUAGGCGGCUAGAUAAGUUAGGGGUGAAAUCCCGGAGCUCAACUUCGGAAUUGCCUUUGAUACUGUCUAGCUUGAGAUUGCGAGGGGAUAGCGGAAUACCCAGUGUAGAGGUGAAAUUCGU